rnacentral:lncRNA from 10 species
GCCAGGACCGCCCCACUCCACGUCGCCCGGAGCUGAGGCCUGGGAGGGGGUCCUGGGCGGAGCGGGCGGGUGGUCGGGCCAGGCCACGCCCCAGGCCACGCCCCAGGCCACACCCCAGGCCACACCCCAGGCCGCGCCCGCGCCUGCGCCUCAGCCCCGGCUUCAUCUUCCCUGUCUUGUUCCUGGGCGCAGAGGGCUCCUCCGGCGCCGCCGAGCUGCGCCCGCUGCCUUCACACCCCGGACAUCCGCGCCACACCUCCAGGAGCUUGCUCAGCUGGGUCCAUCCUGUGGACAAGCCCGAGCGGCAGCGGUAGCGGCCCUGGGUGUCACCCGUCAGCAGGAACUGGUGCUUGAUGGCAGGGACCCAGACCCCAGGAGGCCUCACCCCACAGCAAGAGAAAGACCACGAGCAUGGACAUGAUGGUCGCGCUCACUCCGGUGCAGUGAGUGUCUGGGUGAUGGAUCCUAGAACCUGUUCUAGAAGGAGACGCUGAGUUCUCCCCACUCUACCUGGAGCUGCUGAGGUCAAGUGGAGAGUGCCGGGGCUGAAGCCCAGCGAGCCCCUCCCUGUCACACCACACUGCACAUGUGACACCAAAGGCAUUUAUUGAGCAUCUACUGUGUGCCAGAUGCAAAGAAGACAGUGGGAUAACUGGGCAAGGAGCAUUCCAGGCAGAGGGAACAGCCAG